AUACGGAGGGUGCAAGCGUUAUUCGGAAUCACUGGGCGUAAGGGACGCGUAGGCGGGUUGGCAAGUCAGAUGUGAAAUCCUACAGCUUAACUGUAGAACUGCAUUUGAAACUGCUAACCUAGAGUAUGGGAGGGGGAGAUGGAAUUAGUGGUGUAGGGGUAAAAUCCGUAGAUAUCACUAGGAAUACCGAAAGCGAAGGCGAUCUCCUGGAACAUAACUGACGCUAAGGCGUGAAAGCGUGGGGAGCAAACAGGAUUAGAAACCCUAGUAGUCC
rnacentral:rRNA from 1 species